GCGGGAUUAGUACAGUGGCAGUACGCCGCCUUGCCAAGGCGGAGGCGCGAGUCCGAUUCUCGUAUCCCGCU
rnacentral:tRNA from 1 species